AUGGCGAUCGCACUGGCAGCCUUCCUGCUGCUGCCGCUCUUCUGCCUCGGCGCCGUCCUCGUCCUCCGCGCGUGGAGGGUCGUCGACAAGAAGGCGGCGGCGCAGCGGCCGGGGCUGCUGCGGCCGUACCCGCUGCUCGGCCACCUGCCGCAGUUCCUGGCCAACCGGCACCGUAUACUGGACUGGCUCACCGAGGUGCUCGCGCGCCAGCCCACCUGCACGCUCGUGUUCCGCCGGCCGGGCGGCAUCCGGGGCGUCAUCACCGCCAACCCGGCGAACCUGGAGCACAUCAUGCGCGCCAGCUUCGACAACUACCCCAAGGGCCCGCGCUUCGCGUCGCUGCUCCACGACUUCCUCGGCCGGGGCAUCUUCAACGCCGACGGCGAGGCGUGGCGCGCGCAGCGGAAGGCGGCCAGUUAUGAGUUCAACACGCGCUCGCUGCGCCUCUUCGUGGCGCGAAGCGUGCACAGCGAGCUCCAUGGCAGGCUCCUCCCGCUGCUGCGACGCGCCGCCGGCUCCGGCGGCCACCUCGACCUACAGGACACGCUCGAGCGGUACGCGUUCGACAAUAUCUGCCGCGUCGCCUUCGACCACGACCCCCGCCAGCUCCCCGACGGCGACGCUUGCCCGGAGGUCGAGAGCACCGGGACCGCGAGCAGCAGGUUCGCCGACGCGUUCCGCGACGCGGCCAAUUUCAGCGCCGGCAGGUUCCGGUACGCCGUCCCAGGAUUCUGGAAGAUCAAGAAGGCGCUCAACCUGGGUUCCGAGCGGCGGCUGCGCGAGUCCAUCGCCAUAGUGCAUGGCUUCGCCGAUCGCAUCAUCCGGUUGCGGCGGGAGGAGAUGAGCAUGGGAUGCGAGAAGCACGACCUCUUGUCGCGGUUCAUGGUGAGCCAGGGCGAGAGCUACACCGAGAGGGCCCUCCGCGACGUGGUGAUCAGCUUCCUGCUCGCCGGACGGGAAACGACAUCCUCCGCGCUCAGCUGGUUCUUCUGGCUGCUGUCCUCGCGUCCGGACGUGGAGCACCGCAUCCGCGACGAGGUCGCCGCCGUGCGCGCCCGCCGAGCGAUCGGCGAUCUCGGCAGAGCCGGGUUCGACCUCGACGAGCUGAGGGAGAUGCACUACGUGCACGCGGCCAUCACGGAGUCAAUGCGACUGUACCCGCCGGUGCCGGUGAACUCGCUGCAAGCGAAGGCCGCGGACGUUCUUCCGGACGGCACGGCGGUGGGGGCGGGGUGGUUCGUGGCGUACAACUCGUACGCGAUGGGGCGGAUGGAGUCCGUGUGGGGCGACGACGCGCGGGCGUACCGGCCGGAGCGGUGGCUGGACCCGGCGGAGGGGACGUUCCGGCCGGAGAACCCGUUCCGGUACAUGGCGUUCCACGCAGGGCCAAGAAUUUGCCUCGGAAAGGAGAUGGCGUAUAUCCAGAUGAAGUCUAUCGUGGCAUGCGUGCUGGAGGAGUUCGAAUUGGCGGUGGACGGCGCGUACCGGCCGCGGCAGGUGGCCUCGCUGACGUUGCGGAUGGCGGACGGGCUCCCGGUGGCGGUGAAGGCUAGAGAGAAUUGA
rnacentral:rRNA from 1 species